rnacentral:lncRNA from 1 species
GACAGACUCAAUACAUAGGAAUUUUAAACUCAACUGUUCAAAUUCUCUAGAUUCAUGAAUGGAAAUUGCAAGUUAACUUUUAACAUUAGCGCCUUCCUGACUGCUGCGUUUAAUUCAGCUACUUUUGGAGCCAACAUUGGAUUAACAUGACCUGAUACGCGCUUAACCAGUGCACCCUCUACAUAACGGACUGCAACAGACCAGCCCGCAACAUUCUCCUCACUAAAUAACAUGGCAGUUGUACAAGCCCAAUUUGAACCAGCUCAAACCCAAGACCCAAAACAGACCCAAAGCCCAACUACUAGCCCAAUAACCCAAACACUUUCAGAAAAAAAAACCUAACCCCUAACCCUCUGUCACCACCAACUUUGCCACCACCUGCUCCACCUGUUG